AGAACGAACGCUGGCGGCAUGCCUAAUACAUGCAAGUCGAACGAAGGCUUCGGCCUUAGUGGCGCACGGGUGCGUAACGCGUGGGAAUCUGCCCCUUGGUUCGGAAUAACAGUUGGAAACGACUGCUAAUACCGGAUGAUGACGAAAGUCCAAAGAUUUAUCGCCAAGGGAUGAGCCCGCGUAGGAUUAGCUAGUUGGUGAGGUAAAGGCUCACCAAGGCGACGAUCCUUAGCUGGUCUGAGAGGAUGAUCAGCCACACGUGGGACUGAGACACGGCCCAGACUCCUACGGGAGCAGCAGUAGGGAAUAGUGGACAAGUGGGACAAAGCCUGAUCCAGCAAUGCCGCGUAGACGU
rnacentral:rRNA from 1 species